rnacentral:pre_miRNA from 13 species
CUUACAGAGUUUAUUGGCAUUCUGUCCACCUCCUAUCUUUAGAAAUUAGAAUAUCUCUUUCAUAUGGAGGUGGGCAUACUGCCAACCGAGCUCUGUUGG